AGAACGAACGCUGGCGGCAUGCCUAAUACAUGCAAGUCGAACGAACACUUCGGUGUUAGUGGCGCACGGGUGCGUAACGCGUGGGAAUCUGCCCUUGGGUUCGGAAUAACAGUUGGAAACGACUGCUAAUACCGGAUGAUAUCGAAAGAUCAAAGAUUUAUCGCCCAGGGAUGAGCCCGCGUAGGAUUAGCUAGUUGGUGAGGUAAAGGCUCACCAAGGCGACGAUCCUUAGCUGGUCUGAGAGGAUGAUCAGCCACACUGGGACUGAGACACGGCCCAGACUCCUACGGAGGCAGCAGUAGGGAAUAUGACAAGUGGGCGCAAGCCUAGAUCCAGCAAUGACCGCGUGAGUGAUGAAGGCCGUUAGGGUGUAAGCUCUUUACCCGAGAUGAUAUGACAGUAUCGGAAGAAUAACGCCCGG
rnacentral:rRNA from 1 species